UAUUAUUUUAGAGGGGUGACUUUCCCGGUGAUCAAGGUGGCACGAGUUCACUAUUGUUUAACGAUUCAACAUUGUUUUUAGCUGUUGCGUGAGUGACGGGAGGAUUGAACGAUUUUUAAUUAGUGACAGGAGAAACGGGGAUUCGAAUGAGGGUCGGGAAUAUCCCAGGAAGCCGUGCCCUAUUAUGUAUUAUUGAACCAGUGCAAUUGAAAAUUUUGGCAUUCGUUCAUAUUCAGGGAGACGUGGCAUCACGAUUGAUAGCACAUAAUGAAUGAGGAAAAUCGAUUCAUCGGGACGUUUCGAUUGACAAUAUUUUUUUCAACUCAGAGGAAAAAAGCUCUCUAUCCACUGUGGCAAUAUCUGACUAUCAAAAGUCUAUCGAAAUAUGACUUCUCUACGUUCCAAGGAAUAAAAUUAUUACCGAAGAAUAAGAGCUUUGACUUCAACAGGAGAUGUGAAGCCUUUCGAUAUGUUUCAUGAAAAAAACAUUCUGAAUUCAAAGUUAAUGGUUCUUAUGGCUUAUCAGUCCAAUGACGUACCCAUUCCAGAUCCACAAAUGAUUCCUAUCUUCGGCCUGACGCUGACACGAUCCAGUAGAUACUGAGCGGACUCCAGCAGCAUUUCAAAACUGUAGCUGUAACAGAGAAACGUAGAAAAAACCAUCAACCAAAAGGGAGACUGAAAAGUGUUCAUUCACGGUAAAAUCCCACCGCAUUGAGCCACCCGGUGUAUUCUCCAUUUGUACAGCUAGUGACUACUGAUUCUGACUGUUUUCGCAAAACAAUUGGCUUCGAUUUUAUGACUGAACGAUCUCGCUGAAUAGCUCUUUCACCGGAAACGGGUCACAUGGUUCCCAUGCAAUUUUGCCAAACCCAUAGUUGAAAUGUCAGUGGUUAGACGACACAUACAGCUCCACUGCGCAAUGUAAAACAAUGAAAAUGUAUUGGUGCGUGUUUCCGUACUUGAACGAGUAACACUGUUGUGACACUGUAUCCUCAUAUUAGUGCAUACCUCUGCCCGAUAUGAGAAAGCUUGCAUGAGGUAUAUUCCCUAUAUUAUCCACCAUGCAGUAGAACUCGGAGGAAACACAUAAACGUGUAAUGUUUCAAGUUGGUUGGUACACGUGUGAGUGUUGGAAAUCGUUGGUACCCAGGAAACAAGCCAGAUAGUGGCACUAGCGGAAGAAGGGCGCUCUGUGCCCCCUCGACAAUAUCAAGGUAAAGGAGGAGAAUAGUGUAACUGUCACUCCCCUCGAGCAGUUCAAUUCCACCUACAGCUUUAAUCAUCUCGAAAGGUUCUGUCUGAACAACUGUUUUCAUUAGUACAACUUGCUCAGUCUCAUUGCAUUUAUUACGCUCGCUGUCUCAUUGAGUCAUCGAAAUCAAUUUCAGGGAAUCAUUUUUGGAAAUUUUUACAAAAUCUCACAACAAAUUUAACAAACAUUCAAUUUUUUUGUGUAAAUAGAAUAAUAUAAUUUUAUAGGAGUACUUUGUGUUAGAUAAAAUCCCAGGACUUCAGGCGGGUCAAGCAUGUCUAGCCAUUGCUUCGCUUUUACUACUUGCAGGUGUCUGUGUCUCGUCUGAUCUAAUCUUCCUCUUAUCGAGCUGGGAGUGUAGAGAGCAGAUUGACGAUUCUUCUGGGAAAAUCUUCAUACAUUUGGGCAUAUUUGUGUCUUCUGCUCAGCCAAGCAAACCAGGAGUUCAGAGGAAUGCGAGCUAUACAAGAUAAAAAACGAUUAUCAAUACAGUGUUUUCUGAAUCAUCAUAUGAUUGUAUGUCUGCACUAACCUCGGAUUACUACUCAAGUUUCAUCGCGAUUCAAUCCUGACUUAUCAUAGGGAAUU